UACGGGGGAGCAAGCGUUGUUCGGAUUUACUGGGCGUAAAGGGCGCGUAGGCGGUCGUGACAAGUCACUUGUGAAAUCUCCGGGCUUAACUCGGAACGGUCAAGUGAUACUGUCGGACUAGAGUACAGAAGGGGCAACUGGAAUUCUCGGUGUAGCGGUGAAAUGCGCAGAUAUCAGGAGGAACACCGGUGGCGAAGGCGGGUCUCUGGGCCGAUACUGACGCUGAGGAGCGAAAGCGUGGGGAGCGAACAGG
rnacentral:rRNA from 1 species